CCUCUGUCCAGGAAAGGAGCUGGUGUGAGAGACAGAUCCAACAGAGCGCUGGAGGAAGAUGUUGGAAGCCAGCUGGAGCACAGCUCCCAGCAGAGUGUAGGUGAGAACAGCUGCCCUGCUGGUCCUGGCAGCUGGAGCAGCUGUGGAUGUUGCCCCUUGCACCAGCCUCAUGAUAUUUAAACUCCAGUCCCUGAGGGAGGGUCCUCUCCCAUCCACCUCCCUGCGGGAUGGGUGCUGCAACUGACGGGGCUGAACAGCAGCGGCCCCAGGGGGAGGUGCUAAAGGAGAUGCAGAUGUGCUCCAACAGCCCCACAUCUGUCCUGUGCUGGGCCCCAGGGCUGGAGGCCACUCUGCAGGUGGGGUCUCCCCUGAGGUGGGUAGAGGGGCAGAAUCCGCCCCCCACUCCUGCUGCCCACACUGGGGGAUCAGCCCAGGACACGGAGAGGACUCUGGAUGCCAGCACACAUGGCCAGGACAUGUCCACCUUCUCAUCCACCAGCAGCCCCAAGUCCUUCACUCAGCUGCACCGGGCUGCUUCCCAUGUGAUAUUGUCUUUGAGGUUUGACCACUUCCAGGAUCUCUCCUCUUACUCUUUUCCAGGCAGUUCUUUGCUGUUCUCUGUUGGUCCACUCUGCCCUUAGCUCCCAGUGAGUUGUAAAUAAAGGGAUCCUGGACAAAGAUGGAGUUUUGCUCUGAAGGUCCAGUGGUGGUGCAGAUGGGCCUGCUUUUUCUGGGAAUCCAACAGAAAAGAAAGCUGCUCCUCUGGAAUCCAGUGGGAAACGGCUGGCUGUGGUGUUCCAAACCCUCAGAUUAUAUCCAGGAUGCCCAGGCAUCACACCUUUGGAAUAGCCAGUCCCUUCUGAGGUAACUUUAGUCUCACACUUGCUUCCUGGAUGCUCCAGGGAAUCCUGGCUGCAUCUGUCUGUUGGAGACCUUACCCUUGGGAAGCUUCAGGAUUUCGGUGUACUCACAGCUGGAGUCUCCUCCAACCUGAUUCAUGGAUUUCAAGAGGCAGUGAACAUUCUUAACAACUUGGAUGGUGAGAUUGUCAAGGCAAGCGUGUAAACGUGCUCUGUCUGCUUUGGCUUCCUUGGAUUUGUCGGCUUGGGUGGUUUCUCCGUCAACAGGCUUCUCCUUCCUCCUGGCUGCCCUCCCUGGCUUAGAAGCUUUGGACUCCAGAUGGUCCCCCAAGAUCUCCAACACCAUUGCUAGAAGCUCCUUGGCCACCAGUUCUAUUUCUUGUUGGUGGUCUAGAGGUGUCUCUGCAGGCUCUGUUCUCACAGAGCUGCUGAAAACACUUCCUCUGAUCCUCUGAGCAGUUUUCCUUAAAAAGCUGACACGCUGGUCCUCAGGAACCUUCAGCCUCGCAAACACUUUGUACAUAACAGUCUCAACCAUGUCUUGGACCUUCUGGGCUUCUGCUGCGGUCAGCUGCUCAAAGACAGCUUUAAAGAGGCCAUCAGCAGUGUUGUCCGGCUUCCUCUGGGAGUCAGUGGCUCUGCUGGCAUCUUCCUGACCCAGCUCAGUUGUGGAGUAGGUUUGGCUCUUGUCUAAAGCUACUUUCCCUCUUCUAAAUCUCCCUGAUUUCAGGGAGGUCUCUUUGCUCUUCUGUGGAGGUGGGCAAGAAGGUUUCUGAGGCUGCAGCUGCCGCUCUGCCUGGCAGGAAGUGUCAGUGGCUCUCAGCAGUUUGGGACCAGCCUUUAAUUUGGCCAGAAACGGCAGAAGCCCUUCCUGAAAGGUGACACCAGGUUGUGUGUCAUGGUGCCUGGACAAGCACUCAGCCCCUGCAUGCUGAAGAUUCCCGUGGGCCCAGGCUUCAGCCAGGCCACGAGGGCAGGAGAGAAGGGCUUCCCUCAGUGCGGUGUGUGCCUGCACAUGGCCCUGCUGCCCGUGCCCAGCUCAGUGCCCUGCGCUGGCUCAGCUCCCAGCCUGGAGUCCUUUCCCUGCCACAGUGCCUGGCCCAGCAGCACAGCCCUGCACAGUCCCAUGCCUCUGAACACAACGCUUUGCCUACCUCUUGCCUCAAGAUCUGCUCUAACUCCAGCUUGAUCCUGGUCAGGUACUGCCUGUACUCGUUGAACUCCUUCACAGUGCAAAUCACCUAUGGAGAGACAAGGGCAAAAUCCCCCAAAAACUGUCAGGCUAUGAGUCAGCCUUCCCUAAAUCAGCCUGACCCCAGCGGGAGAGGAGCUGCCUCCAAGCCCUCCCCCCAUACCCUGGUGUUGGGGCCACUGCUGUCCCCCCAGCUGGGGCUGAACAGGCAGUGUGGGGCAGGCUGAGAAGGGCAGGACUGGGGCUUGCCAGGGGGAUGUUGGCACUGCUUCUGCUCCCAGGGACACCAGCGCACGGCCCUGUCCUCUGGCAGCAGCAGGCGGCUGCAGCAAGGGCUGUGGGAGCCCCGCUUGAAGAGGGCUGUUCUUGAUUAGCCUGAUGUCCAAACCUACCUUAUUUUCACUGGUGAUGCAGCCCUGUUUCUUCAGCAUCUGCAGGAUGUCCUUGCGCUUGUGGUAGUCCCGAAGGUGGGGGUCAUGCAGGCAGUUGUAUUGCAGGUUCAGGUGAAAUAAGGAAAUGGCUGGUAGAGCUGCAAAAGACAUUUCCCAGAGUAUGAAGGAGACAGGAGAGAGCAGCAAAGUGGUGCCACAUAGUACUUGUGAAAAGCUGCGAGCAACCAAUGAAGAGAUCAAGCAAGUGGUUCUUCUGUGUGUUCCAGGGAGCCUGGAGCUUCCCCCUGCUGCCCAGCCCUUUCUGAUUGAAGGGCUACAGUUCCUGCUGUAGGUGGCCUAAAGAACUCUGCAUGAUGCGGACCACAUAAAAGAGGAGAGCUUUUCUACCUUUCUCUUUUUCCCCUACCUUUUCCCCCAGGAUUCCCCUGCAGAAGACAGGCUUGGAUCUGGGUUUUACAGGGAUCUUGACUCUGAGUGGGAGGUGGAGCAGGUCAGAAUCCAUUUCACCUGCAUCUCGUUCUCCCAGGUGUGGUCUUCUGUGGCCAAUCUUUGACGACACAGACACUUGGGCAGUAGCUCAAUAUCCUUCACAGCGGGUGCAAGAGAACACAGGUCCUGAGGCGCUAGAGCAGACCCCCAAGCCCCAGGCUCACCGGCUAAGCUGUUUCUAUCAGCCCACUGCUCUCCUCCCUGUAAUUCCCAGUGCACUCAGCAGUGCCUCUGCUUUUUGGCAGGACACCAGCAGUGAGAUGGAGCUCCACAGCUCCUUCCAAGGGCUCUCGUGGUGCUGUGAUGCUGAGCAGUGCUCCACAGCUCCUUCCAAGUGCUCUCGUGGUGCUGCGAUCCCACGUGAGCUCCAGAGGUUUCCCAGUGAUGGGGCAUUGUUACAUCAUGGUGAUGUCACAUCACCGCAUUGUUACAUCACCGCACUGACAUUGUGUCACACAGAAACUGCCCACCACACCUGGGGGAGGGGGGCCCACCUGGAGGCCUCUUUGGACAGCCCUGUGGGCCACCCCAUCCGUGUGACCCAGCUGUGAGAGUGUUGUAAGUGAGAGUCAGUUUGUAUUGAAUGAAGGUUGAGUUGAUUAUUGUAACCUUGGGAAGGGGAGUUACUGUUUUAAGGGGGUUAGUCACUGUUCUUUCCAAGUUCUAAAGGGUCCAGGAUACAGCGGGGGAUGGUCCAAAGGGGCAGAAUAACAUCCAGAAACAGAGUCAGCGCAAUAAAACCAGCGCUGCAGAAGGAGAUUGGAUGAAAGACCUAACCAAUCAUUUGACGCCCCACGGAAAUGAUUGCUCAGAAAUGAAUGAUGGUAAAGACCAAUAGGAACACCAGAAACAAGCCAAUCACCACAUGGAUCCAAAACCCACCAAUCCUGGACCCAAAGGGGAGUUAUAAAAAUGGAAGUUCAGUUGAUUUCGGGGCUCUUUUGAGGAAUUUGCUUCCUGGAGAGUCCAGUGUGUUUGUUGGGUAGACACACUGUUAUUUUUUUGGCUUGUCAUGUGGGGGUCUGAGCCUAUCCCGGGCCUUCUGUCUCCUGUAGCUCUUUUUAAAUAAACGAGAUCCUUUUCCUCUGAAGAGUGUCUGGCCUCGUUUGUCCAUAACAAGAGCUCCUGUCCACAGGCCCC